GGAGAGGUGGCCGAGUGGUUGAAGGCGCAGCAUUGGAAAUGCUGUUUAAGUAUAUUCUUAACGAGGGUUCGAAUCCCUCUCUCUCCU
rfam:Galdieria sulphuraria unplaced genomic scaffold scaf_35, whole genome shotgun sequence.